rnacentral:tRNA from 1 species
UCCCGGGUAGCUCAGUUGGUUAGAGCAUCUGACUGUUAAUCAGAGGGUCGUCGGUUCGAGUCCGACCCCGGGAG